rnacentral:rRNA from 1 species
ACGUAUGGUGCAAGCGUUGUCCGGAUUUACUGGGUGUAAAGGGAGCGCAGGCGGUACGGCAAGUCUGAUGUGAAAUCCCGGGGCUCAACCCCGGUACUGCAUUGGAAACUGUCGGACUAGAGUGUCGGAGGGGUAAGUGGAAUUCCUAGUGUAGCGGUGAAAUGCGUAGAUAUUAGGAGGAACACCAGUGGCGAAGGCGGCUUACUGGACGAUUACUGACGCUGAGGCUCGAAAGCGUGGGGAGCAAACAG